GCGCAGCUGAUGCAGCGACGCCGCGUGAGGGAUGGAGGCCUUCGGGUUGUAAACCUCUUUUGUUUGGGAGCAAGCCUUCGGGUGAGUGUACCUUUCGAAUAAGCGCCGGCUAACUACGUGCCAGCAGCCGCGGUAAUACGUAGGGCGCAAGCGUUAUCCGGAUUUAUUGGGCGUAAAGGGCUCGUAGGCGGCUCGUCGCGUCCGGUGUGAAAGUCCAUCGCUUAACGGUGGAUCUGCGCCGGGUACGGGCGGGCUGGAGUGCGGUAGGGGAGACUGGAAUUCCCGGUGUAACGGUGGAAUGUGUAGAUAUCGGGAAGAACACCGAUGGCGAAGGCAGGUCUCUGGGCCGUCACUGACGCUGAGGAGCGAAAGCGUGGGGAGCGAACAGGAUUAGAUACC
rnacentral:rRNA from 1 species